UCAUUGUAAGGAAAGCUGAUAUGUCUAUGUUCUUCAAGGAGCGUAUAGUCAAGGCCCAUGGGUCUCAGUGUGGGUUCUGUACUCCAGGCAUGGUGAUGUCCAUGUACACUUUACUGAGGAACAAACCACAGCCCAACAUGGAGGACAUCAGAGAGGCUUCUAGGAGGAAACCUCUGCCGCUGUACUGGCUACAGGCUGAUCAUUGAUGGAUUCAAAACUUUCUGUGAUGUAACAGAGAAUGGAGAGGGAUGUUGCCAGAAUGGCCAGAAUGGAGAAUAAGGGGGAAAGUGCUGUAUAGAGAAUGGAACUAAGCAAC